GCCCGGGUUUGCGGGAACAAAGCAGCGCCCUGCGGAAGGCAGCCCUCGUGAACUCAGAAGUUAGUUUUCGUCUCUGGACCUUUUUAUAAUCGGACUUCAGCCCAUCACUGUCUCGUUUUGUCCUCAGAAACGGCGACAGCAGCCUCUUCCCAAUGUUGAGAGCAAAAAGUGUGAACCCAGAAAUUCCGAGACAGAUCUCAAUUACUUGCCAAGGUUGAGGACGCGCGCGUGACAGCCUCAGGAAGUCCUCACGACAUGUGCCCAAGGUGGUCUGGGCAUAGCUUAGUUUUAUACAUUUUAUGGAGACAUGAGACAUCAAUAAAUGUAUGUAAGAAGUACAUUGGUUCUGUUUGGAAAGGCGGGGCAACUUGAAGCAAAGGCAGGAAGACGUGAAGCAGGAAGGGGGCUUCCAAGAAACAGAAGAGACAAGUGAACAUUUAUUUUUAUGUCUUUCUUCCUAUGUGUAUUUCAAGUCUUUUUCAAAACAAGGCCCCAGGACUCUCCAGAUUCAAUUAUGUCCUUGGGCUUGGUCGACUGCUGCAGGAGUCUUAAGGAGCCUUGUGCAAAUGCUAGAGUGACUCAUUUACCAACAUUAAACCCUAGGAUAGAUGCAACAGAGAAGUACUACUUCCUCCAUGGAAUGUGCUGAUUUCAGGCGACGUGGCACCCAAUGUAGAAAACGCUGGAAUUUUUCCUUGGAACUGGACUGUGAUGAGAGGUGCUUGCCAUGAACAUAAGCUACUGUCUUUUUUUUCUUUUUUUGAGACGGACUUUCACUUUUUUUGCCCAGGCUGGAGUGUAAUGGCGCGAUCUUGGCUCACCGCAACCUCCGCCUCCCAGGUUUGAGUGAUUCUCCUACCUUAGCCUCCUGAGUAGCUGGGAUUACAGGCGUGCGCCACCAUUCCCAGCUAAUUUUUGUAUUUUUAGUAGACACAGUGUUUCUCCAUGUUGGUCAGGCUGGUCUCAAACUCCUGACCUCAGGUGAUACGCCCGCCUCAGCCUCCCAAAGUGUUGGGAUUACUGGCGUGAGGCAUCGUGCCCAGCAAGCUACUGUCUUUUCUUUGACCCUUUCCAGUUUUUGAAGAUAAAGCAGGAAAUAAUCUUCUCUGAAAGUACUUGAUAAAAAUUCCCAAAACAAC
rnacentral:lncRNA from 1 species